rnacentral:tRNA from 1 species
GGGCUCUUAGCUCAGGAGUAGAGCGCGACGUUCGCAACGUCGAGGCCGCGGGUGCGAAUCCCGCAGAGUCCA